GUAAGGUAGUGGCCCGGAUUUGAGAUAGAAAGAUGAAGAAGAAGUGUUUAGAAAUGAAAGAUGAGAAAGAUGGAUAGAUAGUACCGGUUGAGUGGCUCUGAUACCACUUGAUACGCCCUAAAAUAGGGAAGGAUCACUCGACCGGACUAAAGGGAUAUGAACUCGCCAAAAGGGAGAACUGAUGGAUUGAACGGUGACACAAUGGGUUGCGGAUGGCCCAAUGAUACUACCAGACUUCAGUUGGUGCUUGAUAUGACUCACAAGUCCACCAAAAGAAGGAUUUCUAAACGUUGCCUGAUAUGACGCACAGGUCCAACGAAUUAGAGGCUGUUUACUCGG
rnacentral:lncRNA from 1 species